rnacentral:tRNA from 1 species
UAGCUCAGUUGGUUAGAGCAUGGUGCUAAUAGCACCGAGGUUGUGGGUUCAAUCCCCAU